rnacentral:rRNA from 1 species
ACGAACGCUGGCGGCAUGCCUAACACAUGCAAGUCGAACGAGACCUUCGAGUCUAGUGGCGCACGGGUGCGUAACGCGUGGGAACCUGCCCUUAGGUUCGGAAUAACUCCCCGAAAGGGGUGCUAAUACCGGAUAAUGUCUUCGGACCAAAGAUUUAUCGCCUUUGGAUGGGCCCGCGUUGGAUUUGCUAGUUGGUAGGGUAAAAGCCUACCAAGGCGACGAUCCAUAGCUGGUCUGAGAGGAUGAUCAGCCACACUGGGACUGAGACACGGCCCAGACUCCUACGGGAGGCAGCAGUGGGGAAUAUUGGACAAUGGGCGAAAGCCUGAUCCAGCAAUGCCGCGUGAGUGAUGAAGGCCUUAGGGUUGUAAAGCUCUUUUACCCGGGAUGAUAAUGACAGUACCGGGAGAAUAAGCUCCGGCUAACUCCGUG